UUACCUUUGCCAAAAUAUGAACUAGAUCCAGAUUCAAUCGUUCCAAUUAUCCAAGCAUUCGAUCAGUUGCCUUUAAUCCAUACUAUAGGAAAACAAAUCAAAUAACACCACUAAACCCUUUUAGUUUAGUCGACAGGCACCCUUUGCAUAUAGGGGUUUUUCGGCUUUUACCUUAAUUCAUGAAUAACGAAAAAAAGAUUCGAGCGUUUACCUAUAUUGUUAUGACACUACUCCCAAUCGAUUGUAGAUCCAACCACCGCCCAAGAAGGGAAAAUAUUCAACCAAGGGUUCGGCCUUUGCAGUACCUCAAAGUAGUAAGAUUUUGGUUUUGAAAGAAAAGAUAAGAGGUUUGGCUUCAAUGGAAAUUCGGCUAACCAGUUUUGUUGAGGAUUUAUGAGAGAAAAUAAGAAGAAUAUGAAGGAUUUAGGUUCGGCAAAAAGAUAGGAUGAGAAUCGACAAGAGGAGAAAGAAAAGAGAAGAGGGGAAGAGAUGAGAGAAGGAAAGAAAAGAAAAAAACAUAGAAGAAGGAAAAAAAAUGAAUCCUAAAGGCCAAAAUAUACGGCAUUUAAUAUAGCUAUGGCUGAAAGAGUGCCUUUCGGCAUAGGAAUUAUUUCCCAAUUCCAAUUCCCGAAUUUCCUUGAUUGUUGGCCUCAUCCAAUGUUUGAAUUUC
rnacentral:lncRNA from 1 species